AUUGAACGCUGGCGGCAGGCCUAACACAUGCAAGUCGAACGGCAGCACAGAAGAGCUUGCUCUUUGGGUGGCGAGUGGCGGACGGGUGAGUAAUGUCUGGGAAACUGCCCGAUGGAGGGGGAUAACUACUGGAAACGGUAGCUAAUACCGCAUAACGUCGCAAGACCAAAGUGGGGGACCUUCGGGCCUCACACCAUCGGAUGUGCCCAGAUGGGAUUAGCUAGUAGGUGGGGUAAUGGCUCACCUAGGCGACGAUCCCUAGCUGGUCUGAGAGGACGCCCAGCCAAACUGGAACUGAGACACGGACCAGACUCCUACGGGAGGCAGCAGUGGGGAAUAUUGCACAAUGGGCGCAAGCCUGAUGCAGCCAUGCCGCGUGUAUGAAGAAGGCCUUCGGGUUGUAAAGUACUUUCAGCGGGGAGGAAGGCGGUGAGGUUAAUAACCUUGCCGAUUGACGUUACCCGCAGAAGAAGCACCGGCUAACUCCGUGCCAGCAGCCGCCGUAA
rnacentral:rRNA from 1 species